rnacentral:tRNA from 1 species
AUUAUUUUAGCAUAAUAGUGCAUUAAAUUUAGAAUUUAAUUAUAUUAAUGUCAGUAUAUUAAUAAAUAAUA